rnacentral:lncRNA from 1 species
ACCAACCGAACUGAGACAUAGAGACCUCAGGGAGGUGGAAGACCGGGAUCCCCAAGAUCUCCUGGCAUAACAAGACUGGGAUCCCCAAGAUCUCCCAGUGUGGGAAGCCGAGCUAAGAAGACAAAGGCAACAAGAGGCCAAAAGUGCCGACCUGAAAACACGAAUUCGGAAAGCCAAGCAAAAGAGAGCCGAGCUCAAAAAGCUCAAAAACAAACUGAAGAGAACACACC